CCAGCUCUGAGUUCCUCUGUCCUCCGAGCACAGCGGGCCACAGCAAGGCCAGCGUUGGGUCCUCUGGCCAGGGCUCCUCCCUUGGUGAUGCUUCCCUCCUGUGAGUUAUUAAGGUGAGCCUUACCUGGGAGGAGCCCAGAGGAAUACCUGGGUGAGGACUAAAGGAACAUUUGGGGACAGAGAACACCCCAUGGAUUGUGCCUGUUAAUGGGCAUUGUGCAAGGACCAGAUGCCCAAGUGAUACCUGGAGUGAUCACCCUGAUCCUAUCUCUGUUUGAUGAAGAGACUUGAAGUUAAAUAAAAUUAUCCAGCUUAGGAAGGCCAUUGUUUUCAUAACGAACUUGAUGAUUUCAGAAGCAGAAGGAAAGCCACUGGAAUGGCUUAGAAUGAUUUCCUGGUGUUUUUGAAUCCAAGGUUCUGUUUGUAGU